UAGGGAAUCUUCGGCAAUGGACGAAAGUCUGACCGAGCAACGCCGCGUGAGUGAAGAAGGUUUUCGGAUCGUAAAACUCUGUUGUUAGAGAAGAACAAGGACGUUAGUAACUGAACGUCCCCUGACGGUAUCUAACCAGAAAGCCACGGCUAACUACGUGCCAGCAGCCGCGGUAAUACGUAGGUGGCAAGCGUUGUCCGGAUUUAUUGGGCGUAAAGCGAGCGCAGGCGGUUUCUUAAGUCUGAGGUGAAAGCGCCCGGCUCAACCGGGGAGGGUCAUUGGAAACUGGGUGACUUGAGGGCAGAAGAGGAGAGUGGAAUUCCAUGUGUAGCGGUGAAAUUCGUAGAUAUAUUGAGGAACACCAGUGGCGAAGGCGGCUCUCUGGUCUGUAACUGACGCUGAGGCUCGAAAGCGUGGGGAGCAAACAGG
rnacentral:rRNA from 1 species